ACUUGUUUGUGCUCUAGGAAGUCCCCAAGAGCACAGGAGCCCAGAGACCUCGCAGGAGGAAGCAGCAGUAUCUGUGUUCCAAAUCCUGCCCAGCCCCCAGGCAGCCAUGGUAUCUUCUCAGCUGGCUCGAGGGCACACCUCCCAAAAUGCAGAGAAGGCAGGGUGGCUAGGAAUGGCUCUAGUAGAAUUCUCCCCUUAUCUUGUCUGGAAACAAGGGGCAAAGAGCUAUCUAUUUCCUCCUGCCAGCCUCCUGCCCCCAACAGGAUUCCUCACAUCCCAGGACCAGCUGGAAAAGGUGGUGAGAGUUGGAAAGAGACUGCUCAGUGAGGACUGCCCUGCGAACCAGCUUGGAUUCAUCCCGUUCACCUCCACGUUCUGCACUCGGGGCCGAGGGAAGGGAGGCAGCCCAGGCAGCUAGAGAACUUGAUGAAACACACUCAAUCUGAAUCUCGCUUGAUCGUCAUGCUGACCCAGUGAGUCUACUCAGGGUCAGGCAUCCUUUCCGACUACUCACUCAGCAGCGGAUCCCCACCCGCCUCUGACUCCCAGUGUCUUUCGGCUCCAACGUAAGUUCACCGAACGUCUAAGAGCUGAGGAUUCAAAGGCAUGUAAGACCGCCCCUGCCCUCAGCUGCAAGACCUGUCCGCGAUCCUACGAGGUAAACGAUGGCCUCCUUCGGCUUCUCACUCCCCCUGCCACCUCUGAGUUCUGAGACUUAACUUUUCUCUUUACUGUCCCACAGCCCCAUUCCGCCCUCUUUCCCCGACCUUGGUCCCCCAUGGGCCCUACAACCAGGUCCCCGACUGACACCUUGACCAGCGAACACAGCAAACAGGCCCGCAGAUGCCGCAGGUCCUUCGGCACCGUCUCCAGGGCCAUCUUCGCCGAUGGGAAGAACAACAGGGAGAUAGACGACCACAGCCUGUGCACCCGCAGGAAAAGCAUUGGGGGCAGUGAAUCCACUGUCUCCCUCUGGAUUGUCUCUGCAGAGACCGAGAAGAAAUCCAGGGACAGCCCCACCCCUCCUUCCUAACUGCGAGAGCGCUAUAGGGUUUCCACUUGCUUCCCACAGGAAUGCUGGCCUGGGAGCUACGGCGGAAAAAAAUGCGUAUUUAUCUUUUAAAACUCCGUCUGUUUGCUCGUUCCGGCUGAUAAUUUAUACUUUGCGCAGUUCUUAGCGCUUAGACACGGUUCCUUUACUAAAGACCAUUUGUAGGAGAUUAGGUGUCCUUUUUUUCCCUUUCAUUUCACCGUCUAGGAAGCGAAAUGCCUUGUUCUAUAGGCACUAAACCACCACCCCUACCAAACCUUUCUCGGGGAAGCAGAAGGGGAACUUGUGCCUUGUGAGGAAGCGACAAAGGCCCCUUCUGGCCCUGGAGACUUCACGCCAAUGGAGCACCAGCUCUCUGUCCUCGCAAUAGCCCGAGUGCAGGCAGAACGCAGUCAUUUGUGUUUAUCUGAGAGGAGCUUUGGGAUAUAAAUAGUUUCAGGCCCCGCUGCGCUGUCAUUCCAGCCCAGCCUCCUGAUUGAGCUGCUUCCGGGCGGGCUUUCUUCUUGUUGGCGGUCCCAUGCUGUGUUCAGAUGGGCUCUGUGACAGGUUUGGAUGUUUUCUAUCACUGAAUAAAACUUUCCACUUUGGAACAUAUUUUCUACACUCUAUUAUCUCAUGUAAGUCCUGCAACAACUAUUAAGUAGGCCCAUUUUAUGGACUGAAAAAGCGAGGCACAGAGUAUUUGCCCAAGGUCUGAGUCACUGAAGUAUGAUAAUGUGUGAAGUGAACAGUAUAAUAAUAAUGACUGAAGCACAGUAAGAAUCCAGUCAUGCUUUCUCCUUCCCUGAUCUCACUAAGCCACACUUUUAGGGGCUUACAAACCAGUUCUUAUUGCCAAGCCCUCUACUCUACCCUAUCCUUUCAUGAAUCGGAGCCUAGCCUCUGAUAACAUAAAUAAUUUACUUCUCUUGAUGUAGAAAGAGAUGACGUUGUUACCCUGAGUGACAGUCACGACAGAACAAAACCACAAGACCAGACCACAUUUGUGGAUAAAUAUAUUAGCAAAUAAAUAUAUUUCUUAACAUAGUGCCUGAUUCAAGCGUCUGUCUGGUUCAGAUAUAAAUACCCAUGUGGGUACCUAGGUGCUAGUCUCCCCACUAACUGAGGGAAAAAGGUUCCCAGGUGGGGUCCUCUGCCCACUUUGCCACCACAUUCACAUUCCAAAUGGGAUAAUGCCUGAGGGGCCAAGAGUGGUCAGGCUGCCCUGGGGUGAAUGUCACCCUGAUGAGG
rnacentral:lncRNA from 10 species